ACAUGGUAGACCAGAUCCCUAGCACGCAUCACCAGCUCCGAGGCGGAAAUUCCGGCCCGGCAUCGAGAACAUCGCGACACGGCGAACAACCUGAGGACAGAAUUCACCAAGAAAUCCACUGUAGAUGUUGCCAUCCCUGGCGAAACAGGUCAACUCGGCAGCCAAUGGUACCCGACAGUGGCAGCAACGUAAGCAACCACAAUGCCACGCACGAUCCGCGGCCCUUAAGUACCAUCGUUCGGCUAUCUCUCUGCCGCAACCACCGCAGCCAAGACUUCCGUCGCUGUUGUUGUUGUCACCGGUGGCAAUCUGCCGAUUGCUGAUCGCACCAUCCCCUGGAGGGGGUGUGCUGCUACCACAGCCGACUUCCUUCAGCAUCUCGAUUCGAACCGCCUCUGCCACCUACGCAUUCUGUCACCAAGAAACAACCUGACAGUUUAUAUCACGAUGGGUGCAUCUUUCGGGCACAUCGGACAGAACAGAUUUCCAUAAGGUCCCGAUGCAUAAUCCUGGUCGCAGAAUGGUUCCGGAGCGUCAUAUCCUUCGGCACGAUUAAAGGACCGACGACUUUAAUCCUGGACGAGCGUCCACGGGCAAGGCUGGAAUACGAUUCCAGCAUAAAGCGACGACUUUAUGGUUAUUCGACGUACGAUUCGCUGACGGGUUCACUUUGUGGAAGACAACGGGAGGAGAAAAGGGGAAUAGGGAGGAAGACGAUGACGAGGAGGAGAACGAGGACGACUCACGAACGACGACAAAACGCAGCAGCCACGCCGGUUUUGCUACCUGAAUGCUUGCCCCUUGUGCGAGCUUUCUUUCCUCUAACGGGUGGCUCGAUACGAAUCUACUAUCUGAUAAAUUGCAAAUACAAUGCUUAUUCUAAGAUAGCUUACAUAUUUAUUACGAGAUUUCAUGCAGUGCACAUUGUUUGCUAAUAGAAAGAAAAAUAGCAUUGCUAGUUUGAAUAGAUUUAUUAGAAGGUUCCUAGGUGAGUUAACUGCGCGUUAAUGAAACGCAACGUGUGGUUGAAGUAUAUCUUAGAAAUGAACAUCUAACUUCAGCAACUGGUGUAGCCAUGAAUCAAGUGAAACUUCACCAUUUGUCCGUUCGUUCCUUGAACGAACUUCUCCUCGUUCAAUGAUCCAAUCUUUCUAAAUAUAUUAUUGUUACUUUCCAACUUGAUUUCCUCCUGCCUUCAAACUCGUUCUUAAUGUUUCAACGGGUAAUUGAAUAUUUAUUAACUCGGUGCUUCGAUGCAACCUACACUUCGAACAGUUUUAAUAUGAUUGCAUUUGAAUUUAUACAUUGUACAGUUAAUCAUCCCUUUUGCAAUUCCAUCGUCUAAAAGUCUAAACCAUCGAAAACUGUUCUUUGUCUGCAGAAAUCCUCGGCCAAUUUUCCUCUUCCAAGCAAAACCAAAAAAUCCUUACUAACAAAUGGAGUGCAAAGAUUUUCAAUAAUGAAGGAAUUUUGUGAUUAAUCGGAAGAAUCGAAGGAAUAUCAAUGAUAUUGAGAUGGUACACCCUGUAGAAGGGUCUGAGAAGGGCCCUGGGUGCGAGAGGCGUAGGCCACGAAGGAACCUGGCGCGCUGGCAGUUGAUGUGUGGCCAUUGUGACGGAAUUUUGAUAACGACAGAGAACGCCAUGGGGUAUCCCGCGGCGCUACACGCGAUUCGGACGUCGGACAUAAUUCUCGUAAAAUUCUCGGCUUUAUGGUAAUGCCCUUGUCUACGUAUCGCCGUGGCGCACCGCGUCAGCUUCGAAUUUUCUCCCUGAACCGGCUCGAUGAUUUUUUCUUAUCGCGAUCGACCGAACUGCUGGAUGAUCUUCUCACCGGUAUCUUCGCUUUGUGAUCGUCAGGGUAAGUACUGAACUUUACAGUCUUUCGAUAUGACAAAUUUUUAUUUCCAAUAAUUUUUUA